GAUGAACGCUAGCGGCAGGCUUAACACAUGCAAGUCGAGGGGCAGCAUGAGACGGAGAUUCGUCGAAGUCUUGAUGGCGACCGGCGCAAGGGUGCGUAACGCGUGAGCAACUUGCCCGUUUCUGGGGAAUAACCGGUGGAAACGCCGACUAAUACCCCAUAGUAUAACGAAGAGGCAUCUUUUUGUUAUUAAAGAAUUUCGGAAACGGAUAGGCUCGCGUGACAUUAGCUAGAUGGUGAGGUAACGGCUCACCAUGGCGACGAUACAUAGGGGGACUGAGAGGUUAACCCCCCACACUGGUACUGAGACACGGACCAGACUCCUACGGGAGGCAGCAGUGAGGAAUAUUGGUCAAUGGACGCAAGUCUGAACCAGCCAUG
rnacentral:rRNA from 1 species